UAGAGUCUAAUACACUCUUUCUUGGCUAGUGUAGCAGACUCCAUGAGAGGUCAUUCGGAAGGGCUCCGUAUAGUUCGAUUUUGGGGCGUAACAUUGUGGUUGGUUGUUCCCUUUCCCUCGACUGACCGAGA